GCUGGGCAUGGUGGUGCACACCUGUAAUCCCAGCUACUUGGGAGGCUGAGGCGGGAGAAUCGCUUGAACCUGGGAGAUGGAGGUUUCAGUGAGCCGAGAUCGGCCCACUGCACUCCAGCCUGGGUGACAGAGCGAGACUGUGUCUCAAAAAAAAAAACAGAGCCAGGGUCUCACUCUGUUGCCCAGGCUGGAGUGCAGUGGUAUAGUCGUAGCUCACUGAAACCUCAAACUCUUGGGUUCAAGUGAUCCUCCCACCUA
rnacentral:sRNA from 1 species